rnacentral:rRNA from 1 species
CCUACGGGUGGCAGCAGUGAGGAAUAUUGGUCAAUGGACGAGAGCCUGACCCAGCCAAGCAGCGUGAAGGAUGACUGCUCUAUGGUUUGUAAACUUCUUUUAUAUGGGAAUAAAACAGGGCAUGCAUACACUCUUGUAUGUACCAUAUGAAUAAGGAUCGGCUAACUCCGUGCCAGCAGCCGCGGUAAUACUGAGGAUCCGAGCGUUAUCCGGAUUUAUUGGGCUUAAAGGGAGCGUAGGUGGAUUGUUAAGUCAGUUGUGAAAGUUUGCGGCUCAACCGUGAAAUUGCAGUUGAAACUGGCAGUCUUGAGUACAGUAGAGGUGGGCGGAAUUCGUGGUGUAGCGGUGAAAUGCUUAGAUAUCACGAAGAACUCCGAUUGCGAAGGCAGCUCACUGGACUGCAACUGACACUGAUGCUCGAAAGUGUGGGUAUCAAACAGGAUUAGAUACCCCAGUAGUC